rnacentral:rRNA from 1 species
UACGUAGGGCGCGAGCGUUGUCCGGAAUUAUUGGGCGUAAAGGGCUCGUAGGCGGUUUGUCGCGUCGGGAGUGAAAACCUACAGCUUAACUGUGGGCUUGCUUUCGAUACGGGCAGACUUGAGGCAUGCAGGGGGAGAACGGAAUUCCUGGUGUAGCGGUGAAAUGCGUAGAGAUGUGGAGGAACACCAGUGGCGAAGGCGACUCUUUGGCCUAUAACUGACGCUGAGGCGCGAAA